rnacentral:lncRNA from 1 species
ACAAAUUCAAGAAACACAGAAUUAUAUAAAUAUUGGAAACAUAGAAAUAUAUAAUAGCAAUAAUAAAAAAUUAAACAGCAAUAUAUAAAUGGAAAAAUGAGAAUAAAAGAAAAAAUAAAAGAACAAUAACCAUGAUCAGAAAUCGAAAUCGAAAUCGAAAACAAGAGGCAGUUUGCUUUGUCCUUGAAGAUUGAUUGAAUGAGUGGAACAAGUGGGGUGGAGGUUUUGAGAGCAGCAAUGUCAAGACGAGAGGCGGUUACCAAAAUUGUAGGGCGUUAGAAAGCCGUUGGCAUUCAACGCGAAAGUUGAGGAAAUGUCCGUCUCAUCCAACGCCUCACGGCACCUCUCCUUGCUUUCUGCCUUUUGAAACGGGAGAUUAAGGAAAGGGGAACCGGGAGAGCCAUGCGUGCGGGAGAGAGAUGGGGUCGAAUCCUUCAUUGUUUGCACUUAUAUUGCACGGGCACAUGGUACCGUUAUACUUAUAUUAGGCGAUAGAAUUUAGAGCUCGUAACGAUUUUGCUAUCCUAUGGUCUAUGAGGACGACGCGUUUUCUAAAGGGCUCCUGAGAAACGAGUUCGACAUUAGUUUAUUCGCUCAUCUUAAUAUUGUUGAUAAUUAAAAUAUCUUUCUAGAGAAAUAUGACUUAAAUUUGAAUGAUUUACGUUUUCCAAUAUACUUUUUUGUUUUACAAAUACAAAAUUAAUACUUCUAAAAUGUUAAAAUAGUCCAACCCCAGCCCAUUCUACACAAAUCUAGAAAAGUCAAGCACCAAAGUCGGUGCAUCAUGCAAUCAUAACAAUAUGCUAGAUAAUUCUAGCAUUAUCAAGUUGGUGGGUGUGUGUGUAUAAUCAUGAAAGUUCUAGCAGCUUGUACAAUAUGUGGCUAUUAUGAAAAGCCAUAUGUUGGAGUCGGCAAACAUGCCUAUAAAUAGGUGUGUGUGUGUGUGUGUUGUAAGCAAGCAACCAAGACAUCGAGAAGUGAAGAAGAAAAUAAGACUACAAGUCUUAUAGUGUGUUGAGUGUUUGUGAGAGUUGAGAGCUUUCUUUGUAAUAUUUUCAGUUUAAUAAGGUCUUUUGUUGUGUCUCAAAUUUGAGAGUGAAUUUCCUCUUUGACAUAUAAAAUUUAGAGUUGUCUAUUCUAAAUUUUUCUCAACAUAAAAUGUGUUUGGUCUUGUGUUUUAGAACAAUAUAUUAUAAAAACGAAAACUUAGGAUAUCAAUAUGACAUUAAAUUGGGCUACAAUUCCAUUCGAAAUAAGAUGACAGGAUUCGAUGCUGCACCAUCUUCAACCCUCCUUACUAUGAAGCGUACUAGUAAAAUGGUUUGAUUUAGGUGGUUUUCACAUAUGUAAAAUAAAAAACAAAUUAAUUACACUUGGUUUGGUAACUAGUUAAUCAAAUAUUACAAUUUUUUAAAUCAAAUUAUUAUUAUUAUUAUUAUUUUCGGAAUAUAGUUCCAAGUCUUUGCCCGCUUUCUAUUAAAUUAACCCCUUUCAACCCUUCGACAGUUUUUGGCUCACACUGCAAUACUAUUUUGUACUUUUGCUUAGAUUUCCCUGAUCUAGUAGUAUCAAUUUUCUUCUUAUGUCCUGCAAUAUUUUAAGGGAACUUUAACGAAAAGUUUCUGGUACUGUUCAUUUUAACGAAAAACCAUAUUUUUACACUAAAAAAUCAAUCAUGGUACUAUUCACUUUACCCUUUAUUUUGUCAUUAUCGUUAAAACUUAAAGUUUUCAAGCCUUUUUCAUUAAUUUUUCUAUAUUUUAACUGAUGCACUUACUUAUACACUUCCUUUUAGAGCAAAGAUUUUUUUAUGUACCCAAAACACAAGGUGGUAUACUACAUAUCUUAAUAUAAGGGCGAUGGACUCUAUAAUCCACUUUGAUUAUAAUACAUAAUAUAUCAUCUUGUGUUCAAGUAGACAAAAAAUUCUCACAAUAGAAAUAGGUCUACUAUUGUAUGUGAAUCCCCUAAAUUAGACGUUGUUUCAGUUUUGUAUAUGUCCAAAUACUAUGGCUCUUUUAAUAUUUCGUUCCCGUUUGUACAUGUUGCUGAACCAUCUUAUCCCACCGUUCCAACGAAGACCAAUAUUCAAAGGAACGGGAAUAUCACCUGUUUAUAUAUGCAAAUUAAUGAAAUUUCAAAAAGAUGCGGUCAUGAAAACGACUCUCAAAGUAUAUAUAUAUAUAUAUAUAACAAUAGACAAGAAGGGAAAGAUCGAUCACAUACAUUCGUAUUUUUUUUGUUUUCGUUUUUCAUUCCCUAUUAAGUAAAUGUUAAGUACGUGGGAAUAGCAGAAAUGCAGAAGCCAUUAAAGUUGGUUCCAGCAGAACUUGUGUAAGCCCCCAUGUUAUGAAACACGAGAUAAUCAUUUAACUUCAGUUCCGGCAGUUUGUAGUCAGCCACCACCGUGUCCAGCGAAUCACAGGUUGGUCCGAACACCGUCGAUGAAUAUAUGGCUACUGAAUGAUGAUGAUGAUCAGGAGUGUGAAGGAGGAGGGGUGAAACUGUCAAACAAGAUUUAUCAAAUGCUGGAAGAUUAAACGACCCAUAUAUCCCAUCAGUAAUCCAAUACUCUCUUUUCUCUCCUCUCACUCUCUUCCCCAUCACAUUUGCAACCAAAGUGAAAGGCGUUUCCGCAAAGAACCUUCCUGGCUCAGCCAUCACCACCAGAUCAGACUCCGAUUGAUGAUCACCAAAGUGUUCUUUAAUGGCGUCGUUUAGGGUUUCGGCUAUUUCAUCAAAUAACGGGUUUGCCUUGAACCCACCACCAAUAUCAAGCACAUGCAUUUUGGGCAGUUUGAGCUCAUCUGCCACGUCGAAUGCAGCCCUAGCAGCUACUAUUGCUCCACGGUACACUUGAGAUUCCGAAGCUUUCGAACCCACGUGAAAUGAAACUCCCACCACUCUCAACCCUAGUUUGUCUACAUGUCUAAGUAGAGGCGCGACCUCCUCGGACAACGCACCGAAUUUGGUCCCAAAUGAACGCCAGGAGCUCGUGUCAUUGAGGACUGCAAUUCGGAGCAACAAGGAACAUUUGGGAUGGCAUUUUUUAUCUUGUUAAGUUCGUCUAUGGAGUCGAAGGUUGCAAGAUUGACCCCGACUCCAGCUGCGUGCCUUAAAUGGUUCUCACCCUUGCAUGGAUUGGCGUAGACUAUCCUUGAGGGACUUACACCAUGAGAAAGGAUGGCCUCGAUCUCCACCUUGCUAGCGCAGUCAAAGCUCGCACCGAGCGUUGCCAAUGCUGCUAUGAAUGCAGGCUCAGGGUUACACUUGACAGCAAAGAAGGGCAGAACGUUGGGAAGGCAACGGUUCCAUUUUUGCAUAAGGCUGACAAGAACUCCCAAAUCGAGAACAUAAAAGGGUUGUGGUUCGUCUUGUUUGUUGAUGAUGGAUCUGAUGUGAGCGGUGAGUUGGUGUCUUGGUAUGUCAGUUGGAACAUGUUCACCCUUCACUUGGCUUGCUGCCAUUUUGACUUGGAGGCUGCUAAAAGCAGUAAUGCUUGGAAUACUUGGAAGGAUCAAUGCCAUGGAAGAAAAACGAUUAAUGGGUUUAUGUGAAAGAUAGCAAGAAUAGUGUAGAGAAAAUUCGUAACUAAUUAAGUGACUGAUCUCUCUAAAACUUACUUUGUGGAUGUUUUGCGUAAUGUAUGUCUUUAAAUAGAGAAUUUAAACGGUCCCCCAUCAGAAUGGGCUUCACCAACCACAUCUCUCUUAUGUGUAAAAUGGGACACUUUGGAUGUGGUCCUUGACAUUAAUGUAAUAGUGUAAGUUACUAUAUGUUUUAAAUUAAAAAUUAAAAAUUAAAAAUUAAAAAUUGAAAUUUGUAUCUGUUUAUAUUAAAGGGAUUUUAAAUAUAACCUAUAAUUUGUGGGAUUAAAAAUAAUAAAAUAUAAAUUAUACUCUAUUAUAUUGUAUGUGUGUGUGUACACACACACAUAUGGGUACAUUCAUCAAAAUUAACAAAAAAAAAUUAUUGUACCAAAACAUGGAUACAUUCUUCAAAACACACACAAAAAAAAAGAAGAAGAUAUUAGGCUUAAUAACAUUAGUAAAUUUCUUUGAUUAAACUUGGCAUACCCAACCAACCAACAUGCGGACCAUUUAGAUACUUUAUGGUGUUGGUUGAUGCAUCGACAAGAUGGUCACAUGUUUGCUUGUUGUCCACACGCAAUGCCGCAUUUGCUAAAACUCCUAACUCAAUCAUUAAGCUAAGGGCUCACCAUCCUAAUUAUCCGAUUAAGUUAAUUCGAUUGGAACGCUGGAGAGUUUACGUCACAGACUUUUGACGAUUAUUGCAUGUCAGUAGGGAUUGAUGUGGAACAUCCUGUACCCCAUGUUCAAACCCAAAACAGCCUGGUAGAAGCUUUCAUAAAGCGCCUUCAAUUGAUAGCUCAGACUUUGGUUAUGAGAACCAAACUGUCGGUAUCUUCCUAGGGCUAUGCAAUAUUGCACGCAGCUAUAUUGGUCCGCCUCAGGCCCAUCGCUACUCAACCACAUUCACCAUUACAGUUGGUCACUGGAUACGAGCCUGACGUCUCUCAUUUACGGGUGUUUAGGUGCACCAUUUAUGUGCCAAUAACGCCGUCGCUACAAAAUGGGUCCUUAGAGAAAAAUGGAAUCUAUGUCGAUUAUGAUUCACCAUCAAUUGUUUGCUACUUAGAACCUUUAACAGAAGAUCUCUUUACCACACGUUUUGCGGAUUGUCACUUUGAUGGGCCAGUCUUCCCGUCAUUAAGGGAGAUAAGCAUGUUAACGUUCCCGUAGAAUGCCACGAAUUGUCGUGGUAUGCUCCCACUAUGUCUCAUUUGAAUCUUCGCACUGCCAAUGCGAUGUUGGGAAAGAAGAAAAUGCAGGUCUGCAACAAAUUCAAGAAAUACAGAAUUAUAUAAAUAUUGGAAACAUAGAAAUAUAUAAUAGCAAUAAUAAAAAAUUAAACAGCAAUAUAUAAAUGGAAAAAUGAGAAUAAAAGAAAAAAUAAAAGAACAAUAACCAUGAUCAGAAAUCGAAAUCGAAAUCGAAAACAAGAGGCAGUUUGCUUUGUCCUUGAAGAUUGAUUGAAUGAGUGGAACAAGUGGGGUGGAGGUUUUGAGAGCAGCAAUGUCAAGACGAGAGGCGGUUACCAAAAUUGUAGGGCGUUAGAAAGCCGUUGGCAUUCAACGCGAAAGUUGAGGAAAUGUCCGUCUCAUCCAACGCCUCACGGCACCUCUCCUUGCUUUCUGCCUUUUGAAACGGGAGAAGGAAAGGGGAACCGGGAGAGCCAUGCGUGCGGGAGAGAGAUGGGGUCGAAUCCUUCAUUGUUUGCACGAUAUGCCGCGAGAACGGGGGUGCUACUACUUCUAUAUGCAUCCAAGUUCCAAAAAAACAAAUAUUCUUUUAAUUUCCGCACUUAUAUUGCACGGGCACAUGGUACCGUUAUACUUAUAUUAGGCGAUAGAAUUUAGAGCUCGUAACGAUUUUGCUAUCCUAUGGUCUAUGAGGACGACGCGUUUUCUAAAGGGCUCCUGAGAAACGAGUUCGACAUUAGUUUAUUCGCUCAUCUUAAUACUGUUGAUAAUUAAAAUAUCUUUCUAGAGAAAUAUGAUUUAAAUUUGAAUGGUUUAUUUUUUCCAAUAUACUUUUUUGUUUUACAAAUACAAAAUUAAUACGUUUAAAAUGUGUUUGGUCUUGUGUUUCAGAACAAUAUAUUAUAAAAACGAAAACUUAGGAUAUCAAUAUGACAUUAAAUUGGGCUACAAUUCCAUUCGAAAUAAGAUGACAGGAUUCGAUGCUGCACCAUCUUCAACCCCCCUUACUAUGAAGCGUACUAGUAAAAUGGUUUGAUUUAGGUGGUUUUCACAUAUGCAAAAUAAAAAAACAAAUUAAUUACACUUGGUUUGGUAACUAGUUAAUCAAAUAUUACAAUUUUUAAAAUCAAAUUAUUAUUAUUAUUAUUAUUUUCGGAAUAUAGUUCCAAGUCUUUCCCCGCUUUCUAUUAAAUUAACCCCUUUCAACCUUUCGACAGUUUUUGGCUAACACUGCAAUAGUAUUUUGUACCUUUGCUUAGAUUUCCCUGAUCUAGUAGUAUCAAUUUUCUUCUUAUGUCCUGCAAUAUUUUAAGGGAGCUUUAACGAAAAGUUUCCGGUAUUGUUCAUUUUAACGAAAAACCACAUUUUUACACUAAAAAGUCAAUCAUGGUACUAUUCAUUUUACCCUUUAUUUUGUCCUUAUCGUUAAAACUUAAAGUUUUCAAGUCUUUUUCAUUAGUUUUCCUAUAUUUUAACUGAUGCACUUACUUAUACACUUCCUUUUAGAGCAAAGAUUUUUUUAUGUACCCAAAACACAAGAUGGUAUACUACAUAUCUUAAUAUAAGGACGAUCGAUUUUAUAAUCCACUUUGAUUAUAACACAUAGUAUAUCAUCUUGUGU